rnacentral:rRNA from 1 species
UACGUAGGGGGCAAGCGUUGUCCGGAAUUACUGGGCGUAAAGCGUGUGUAGGCGGCCCGCUAAGUCUGAUGUGAAAUCCCUGGGCUUAACCCAGGAACUGCAUCGGAAACUAGCGGGCUUGAGUUCGGGGAGAGGGUGGUGGGAAUUCCUGGUGUAGAGGUGAAAUUCGUAGAUAUCAGGAGGAACACCGGUGGCGAAGGCGGCCACCUGGACCGAUACUGACGCUGAGACAGGAAA